CUCCCUGGUGAUAAUAG
rnacentral:sRNA from 1 species